ensembl:lncRNA
GUAACACACAGAGAGAUGUAACACACAGAUAGAGAUGUAACACACAUAUAUAGAUGUAACACACAGAGAGAUGUAACACACAGAGAGAUAUGUAACACACAGGUAGAGAUGUAACACACAGAUAGAGAUGUAACACAUGUAUAUAGAUGUAACACACAGAUAGAGAUGUAACACACAGAUUUAGAUGUAACACACAGAUAUAGAUGUAACACACAGAGAGAUGUAACACACAGAGAGAUGUAACACACAGAGAGAUAUGUAACACACAGAUAGAGAUGUAACACACAGAUAGAUGUAACACACAGAGAGAUGUAACACACACAGAUAGAGAUGUAACACACAGGUAGAGAUGUAACACACACAGAUAGAGAUGUAACACACACAGAUAGAGAUGUAACACACAGAUAGAGAUGUAACACACAGGUAGAGAUGUAACACACAGAUAGAGAUGUAACACAUGUAUAUAGAUGUAACACACAGGUAGUGAUGUAACACUCACAGAUAUAGAUGUAACACACACAGAUAAAGAUGUAACACACAUAUAUAGAUGUAACACACAGAUAGAGAUGUAACACACAGAUAGAGUUGUAACACACAGAUAGAGAUGUAACACACACACCCUACAAUAAUAGAAAAACAAACACGGUUGCAAUCAAAUCAAAUGCAUCUGACACGGGCUUACUGACAGACAUGUAGCACACACAGAUAGAGAAGUAACACACAGAUAGAGAUGUAACACACAGAUAGAGAUGUAACACACAGAUAGAGAUGUAACACACACACGGAGACUUACCUUGAAAUGCUAACAUGUUUACUUACAGAGAUGUUCACUGGCGAAAACACACACAUGAAAGGCACCCGAUAAUUACAGACUUGUUCACUCUCAUG